AUUGAACGCUGGCGGCAUGCUUUACACAUGCAAGUCGAACGGCAGCGCGGGCUUCGGCCUGGCGGCGAGUGGCGAACGGGUGAGUAAUACAUCGGAACGUGCCCAGUAGUGGGGGAUAGCUCGGCGAAAGCCGGAUUAAUACCGCAUACGACCUGAGGGUGAAAGCGGGGGAUCUUCGGACCUCGCGCUAUUGGAGCGGCCGAUGGCAGAUUAGCUAGUUGGUGGGGUAAAGGCCUACCAAGGCGACGAUCUGUAGCUGGUCUGAGAGGACGACCAGCCACACUGGGACUGAGACACGGCCCAGACUCCUACGGGAGGCAGCAGUGGGGAAUUUUGGACAAUGGGCGAAAGCCUGAUCCAGCAAUGCCGCGUGUGAUGAAGGCCUUCGGGUUGUAAAGCACUUUUGGCGGGAACGAAAAGGACUGUGCCAAUACCACGGCUCGAUGACGGUACCCGCAGAAUAAGCACCGGCUAACUACGUG
rnacentral:rRNA from 1 species